CGAUAGAUAAGGGCUUGCUCUUAUCGAAAGUGGCGCACGGGUGCGUAACGCGUAUGCAACCUACCUUAAUCUGGGGGAUAGCCCGGAGAAAUCCGGAUUAAUACCGCAUAAAAUCACAGGAUGGCAUUAUCCAAUGAUCAAACAUUUAUGGGAUUGAGAUGGGCAUGCGUGUCAUUAGCUAGUUGGCGGGGUAACGGCCCACCAAGGCGACGAUGACUAGGGGAUCUGAGAGGAUGGCCCCCCACACUGGUACUGAGACACGGACCAGACUCCUACGGGAGGCAGCAGUAAGGAAUAUUGGUCAAUGGAGGCAACUCUGAACCAGCCAUGCCGCGUGCAGGAAGACUGCCCUAUGGGUUGUAAACUGCUUUUAUCCGGGAAUAAACCUAAGUACGUGUACUUAGCUGAAUGUACCGGAAGAAUAAGGAUCGGCUAACUCCGUGCCAGCAGCCGCGGUAAUACGGAGGAUCCAAGCGUUAUCCGGAUUUAUUGGGUUUAAAGGGUGCGUAGGCGGCCUGUUAAGUCAGGGGUGAAAGACGGUAGCUCAACUAUCGCAGUGCCCUUGAUACUGAUGGGCUUGAAUGGACUAGAGGUAGGCGGAAUGAGACAAGUAGCGGUGAAAUGCAUAGAUAUGUCUCAGAACACCGAUUGCGAAGGCAGCUUACUAUGGUCCUAUUGACGCUGAGGCACGAAAGCGUGGGGAUCAAACAGGAUUAGAUACCCUGGUAGUCCACGCCCUAAACGAUGAACACUCGCUGUUGGCGAUACACAGUCAGCGGCUAAGCGAAAGCGUUAAGUGUUCCACCUGGGGAGUACGCUCGCAAGAGUGAAACUCAAAGGAAUUGACGGGGGCCCGCACAAGCGGAGGAGCAUGUGGUUUAAUUCGAUGAUACGCGAGGAACCUUACCCGGGCUUGAAAGUUAGUGAAUCAUCCAGAGAUGGAUGAGUGAGCAUCACACGAAACUAGGUGCUGCAUGGCUGUCGUCAGCUCGUGCCGUGAGUGU
rnacentral:rRNA from 1 species